GGAUUAUGUUCGCUUGUAUUUCAGACGAUUUUGCUUUGUCCCUUCCUCUUCAAACUGGAUCUUCUUACAGCGUUCUUUCCUACCCUGAGAGUCACAAGAUCUUUGCCGAAUUCUUCGUAUAUAACACUGGUGUAAGAUGGACGCAGCAUAAGAAUAACAGGCAUACUUUUUUACCUGAUAGGUUAAAUAUUGCUCACCCGCUCCUUCUUAGCCUUGAAGAAUUACAAGAAAUAUCUUCUAGUUCCACAAUAACUGCAAACUUCUGUUCCACAAGGAUAAUCCAGAAAGCUUUUCUUUUGAAAGAAUUUGAAGAUAACAGUGAUCAAAAACUUUAAAUAUAAAGGGAAAAAUUGAAUCUAAAGGAAUUUUCUGGAAUAAUAUUUCAUUUUGGAGGAUAGAGAAAGAGUGAACUUCAAGAAAACAGUAAUUAGAAUAUACAGGAGGCGAAAAAGCACUUGUGGGAAAGGCUUAAUAAAACAGGGGACAAUCAUAGACACAGUGGAUGCAUUUGGAAAAAUAUUUCUUCAUGGAAGACAGAGGAGGACUGGGCUCCAAGAAACAGCAAUUAGAAUGUGCUGCCUAUGAAAAAGCAACAAUUUGCUCAGAAGAAAGAACAUGAAACUCAAAUGUGAAUACAUUGAAUAAAUUAUGUUUAUAAUUUCAAACUGUGAAAUAUAAAAGAAAAAUAUUUCAUCAUGGAAGACAGAGGAGGACUGGACCCCAAGAAACAGUAAUUAGAAUGUGCUGCCCAUGAAAAAGCAAGAAGUGGGAAAUACUUAAUAUAACAGGCCAAAAGCCGAGACAUAGUAGAUGCCUUUGAUUUUAUGUAGAUGACUUCAAUCUGAACUGUUUCUUAUUACAAGAAUACUUCAUUGUGCAAGAUAGAGGAAAACUGGACUCCAAGAAACAGUAAGUCGAGUGUACAGCUGACGAAAAAUCAACAAGUGGGAAAUACUUAAUAUAACAGGCACAAUUGUAGACACAGUUGAUGCCUUUGUUAAAAAGGAAUGAUAUUUCAUUUUGGCGAAAAGUUAAUUCCAAGAAACCGCUAUCAGAAUGUGCCUCAAGAGAAGAAUCAACAAGUGAUUAAUACUUAAUGCACAAUGGAAUAUAACAAUGGACUUAUACACAGUGGGUGCCUUUGAUAUAAAGAAUUUAAUAACGUAGUGACAACUGCACUUGAUAAUGACCUCGGUUAGAAUAUAUCACUUUAUGCCAGGAAUACAAAAGUUAAUCAACUCCAUCACCGAUGACGAACUUUAUCGAGACUACAAAGAGGAUAUCUUUUUUCGUGAAGGAAUUGAGAAUCGCUGAUAUUUUUGCCAUCAUUUGUGCCAUUCGAGGGAUAUAUUUUAAUCAGUUCUGGAAUUCCAUGGAGGCAUGCUAUGUGAGAAAUAGCACGUGGGUCGAAUAGAGCCCUUUCAUCAUUGCAAAGAAUAGCUAGCAGAAGUGAUGAUAAGGCAAUGGAGAUUCACCAAACUGUUCAACAGAUCUAUUAAUUGACCGAAUAUCUGAUGAAUUUAUUGUAAAGUAUGUAUCUUUGUCCAUGAUUUUUUUUUGUACACUUACUGACCAUCUUCAACAUUUUUAUCAUUCAGGGACUGUGCAUUUUUUAAUAAAGUAAAUUCCUUCCAACAUUUAACACAAAUUUUUGAGCCAUUGACUAUUUAAGGAUAAAAUUCAGGUUCCAUGCUGUGAAAUUUCUAGGCUUUUUCCUGUCUCUAGUAAAGUGCUUUGUUUUCUUUAAUGGAUUGCAGCACUGAAUUCUCAAUAUAUUAAUUUCCAUAUUUGAGAAAACAUGCACAGUGUUAAUGUUUUAAUUACUUGUUAAAAAAUUAACUAGUAACAUUAAGCAUUAAUUUU